UACGGGGGGGGCAAGCGUUGUUCGGAAUUACUGGGCGUAAAGGGCUCGUAGGUGGCCAACUAAGUCAGACGUGAAAUCCCUCGGCUUAACCGGGGAACUGCGUCUGAUACUGGAUGGCUUGAGUUCGGGAGAGGGAUGCGGAAUUCCAGGUGUAGCGGUGAAAUGCGUAGAUAUCUGGAGGAACACCGGUGGCGAAGGCGGCAUCCUGGACCGACACUGACACUGAGGAGCGAAAGCCAGG
rnacentral:rRNA from 1 species